AGGGAACCAAGAAGUCCAGAGCACUGAGGCGGGAGUGAGCUGGCAGGCUUCAGGGAGAUCGGCUCUUCCAGCCCUGCUAGACAGCGCUGGAAGGAGAAGCAGCAGAAGAGGAGACUGGAAGCUGACAGGAUGGGCCACCAGGGGCUCUGGCUCUUACUUAUGGGAGCUGCUGGGGCGCGGGAGCUGAGGAGCGCUGGUCUGGAGUGCAUUUGAAAGGAUCCCUCUGGCUGUGUGCAGAGAAAGGGCUGCACAGAUGGAAGGUAUGUACCACUGGGAUGCUCCUGCCUCCCUCCAGGUGUGUACCACCAGGAUGCUUCUGCCUCCAGGUAUGUACCACUGGGAUGCUCCUGCCUCCCUCCAGGUGUGUACCAACAGGAUGCUCCUGCUUCCAGUCAGUCCUACAAGAUGUUGCAAUGAUGCUUGCUUUGUGGAAGAUGUCGUAGAUCCUGAAGGUGAAGCACUGCUCUGAGCCACACACCAGAAGCCAUUCACUCCUCAUUCGCACACCCCGUGCUGGUGCCCCUGCUCUUCUUGUGUAUGCAGAAGAGAAACGGUAGGCCGGCCCAGCUCAGAAUCUGUCACCCCCAAAUAAACCCGACCUUAAGAACCUUCAUUCCCAUCUUCUACCUGCCUUCCCCUCCCCCCUCACACUAAUCCACAUUCUGGUAAGAGAGGGGCCAGUCAGCCAGGGAUCCUAUGAGAGUCUGGGAGGGGUUGGACCUGAUGAUACCCAGUCCAAGGAAGCUGGAAGAAAUUUGUGUGCGGCCGUGCCCAGGAAUAAACAUUCAGUAGCCAUUUGGUCCACAGGCUAAACCAGUUGUUCACCAAAGUGUCCUCUGUGUGCCCUGGGUUUCAGUCGCCUGCCUACAACCAACCUUGACCCCACCUAGCUCUUACCUUCCUUGCGGUUGACUUUCUCUGAGCUCAGAGUAAAUAGCCUCAGCCCCUCCCAACAAUGGCAUGUCUCCGGUCCUCGCCUGGGCCUGCAAAGCUGGAGGAAACCUUUUCGGCCACUUUACCAACGUCCUUCUUUAGCUCAGCGGUUGGAUGCACUCAUGUCGGCAAAGGCUACCCAUCUGACUUAGAGUUUUUAAUGUUGCAGAAGUCUCUAGUCUCCAGCAGCAGAAUCCUCCGGGGCCUUACAGACUCUCGGAUCCCAGGAACCAGAAACUGCUUACAGGGUGCUUCCUGUGUAACUCCCUUAGUCAUUGUUUUGGCAUUUGCAGGCCCAAGUUCCCUGUUAUAAAGCAGAGUGGGCCCUCACAUCCUACCUGACAUUUUCUCCUCCUCGCAAUACUUGUCUUAAUUUUUUUGUUUAAUUUUUUUGUUAAUGUUUUAAUUAAAAAAAAAAGAAAUAACAUAUCUUUAUCACAUUCUCCCCCUCCCCUGACUUCCUGACCCUCCACACUAUCUUCUUACCCACCCAACUUCCUGUUCUUUCUCUCUCACCACCCUCCCACCCCCCCAA
ensembl:lincRNA Gm14317 predicted gene 14317